AUGAAGAUUACGUGCUUGUUGUGCGGGCAUGAGGAUGAAACUCUGCUACAUGCACUGGUAUAGUGCGUCCAUGCCAGGACGUAGUGGGCUGAGGCGGAAAAGUUUUUUGGAAUCAGUCUACCUCAUAUGGUUCCAGAGACUUGGUCUAGAGAUAUUCUGGAUCCCCACUAUCUGUCCAAGGAAAAAGCAGAAAUUGCAAUUACGGUGAUGUGGGCGGUCUGGAAUAGCAGAAACUAAUAUUCACAUGGGGAGGUCCAGUACCAGCCAAUUCGCUCAAUGGAGCUGGUCCAAGAGAUGAUCAGAGUUCUUGAUAUUCCAGGAAAGGAAAAGGUGGCACUUCAUGAACGGCCGUUUUGGCGUCCACCUGCCGAAGGAGUUGUCAAGGUGAAUACAGACAUAGCAACGCAAAUGGCUACUAGGGAGUCGGGAGGCUCGAUGAUAGCGCGUGAUAAUCACGGCUCGUUUCUUGCAGCUAGGUAUAAACACUAUUUAGGAACUACCUCCCCGUUGGUUGGAGAAGCUUUGGCGUGCCGCAAUGCGAUGUUGUUUUGCUUUGGAGCAAGGAUGGACCAAUGUUCAAAUUGA
rnacentral:rRNA from 1 species